rnacentral:rRNA from 1 species
CUCCUAGGGGAGGCAGCAGUGGGCGAAUAUUGGGCAAUGGGCGCACACUGUACCCAGCAACGCCGCGUGAGGGAAGAAGGUUUUCGGAUUGUAAACCUCUGUCCUAGGGGACGAAGGAAGUGACGGUACCUUAGGAGGAAGCCCCGGCUAACUACGUGCCAGCAGCCGCGGUAAUACGUAGGGGGCGAGCGUUGUCCGGAAUGACUGGGCGUAAAGGGCGUGUAGGCGGCAGUAUAAGUCCGGAGUGAAAGUCCUGCUUUCAAGGUGGGAAUUGCUUUGGAGACUGUACAGCUUGAGUGCGGAAGAGGUAAGUGGAAUUCCCAGUGUAGCGGUGAAAUGCGUAGAGAUUGGGAGGAACACCAGUGGCGAAGGCGACUUACUGGGCCGUAACUGACGCUGAGGCGCGAAAGCGUGGGGAGCGAACAGGAUUAGAUACCCUGGUAGUCCACGCGGUAAACGAUGAAUGCUAGGUGUAGGGGGUAUCGACCCCUUCUGUGCCGGAGUAAACACAAUAAGCAUUCCGCCUGGGGAGUACGGCCGCAAGGUUGAAACUCAAAGGAAUUGACGGGGGCCCGCACAAGCAGCGGAGCAUGUGGUUUAAUUCGACGCAACGCGAAGAACCUUACCAGGUCUUGACAUCGAUCCAAAGCUACAGAGAUGUAGUGUGACUUCGGUCAGGAGAAGACAGGUGGUGCAUGGUUGUCGUCAGCUCGUGUCGUGAGAUGUUGGGUUAAGUCCCGCAACGAGCGCAACCCUUAUUGUCAGUUACUAACGGGUAAGGCCGAGGACUCUGACGAGACUGCCGGGGACAACUCGGAGGAAGGUGGGGACGACGUCAAAUCAUCAUGCCCCUUAUGACCUGGGCUACACACGUGCUACAAUGGUGGUAACAAAGAGGAGCGAGCCCGUAAGGGUAAGCGGAUCUCAAAAAAGCCAUCUCAGUUCGGAUUGUGGGCUGCAACCCGCCCACAUGAAGUUGGAGUUGCUAGUAAUCGCGAAUCAGCAUGUCGCGGUGAAUACGUUCCCGGGCCUUGUACACACCGC